UACGUAGGGUCCAAGCGUUAUCCGGAAUUACUGGGCGUAAAGCGUGCGCAGGCGGCUCGUUAAGUGAGAUAUGAAAUCUGACGGCUCAACCGUUAGACUGUGUCUCAUACUGGCGAGCUAGAGGAUGGCAGAGGCAAGUGGAAUUCGUAGUGUAGCAGUGAAAUGCGUAGAUAUUACGAGGAACACCAAUGGCGAAGGCAGCUUGCUGGGCCAUUUCUGACGCUCAGGCACGAAAGCGUGGGGAGCGAACAGG
rnacentral:rRNA from 1 species